rnacentral:pre_miRNA from 2 species
UCUCUGGUGUAGGGAGAUCACCUCAGGCGUACAGUCUUGUCAUGUAGCAUGUAGCCAGACCUGAUCUCCCUGCAGCGGCUG